UGGUACUUGUUGUCUAGCAGAUACCAUUGAGAAUUGAGUGUGGAUAAUGCAAUUUAGUGAGACAGUUAGAGUCAUAUAGGCGUUUCAUAUAGGCGUGAUUUAUUUUUGUGGAAAAAAUGUGCUGGACUGGGCGGCGGUCAUAUUUUGUACCGCUCUGCGGUACAUCUAGUUCAUUUUUUCUUUUGUUGCCAUGUUCAACUUAAGUAUCAACUUUCACUUUGUGAAAUAGAUUGCAGGUGGUGAUCCAGUUGCAGAAGUUGUAGCUAUUUCAAAGGAGGACAUUGAGGCCUUUGUUCAAGAACGCACUGAGGCAGAUGCGGAUGUGUUUAACAAAGUGCUCAUCAACAUCGAGAAGGCCCAAGAGAGGCAGAAGGCAGCCUAUC